rnacentral:lncRNA from 1 species
CAUUAAGUUGACACGCCGUGAUAUAAUCGGAAUACUGUUAAAAGCGGCAUUAAACCCAACUCACUCACUCACUCACUGUGAUUAUGAGUCUAAGUUUGUCAGCACCAUACCAAUGCUCAUGGGUUUUGCCAAAUUUUGGAUUUUUCUCCCAAAUUAGAACUGCAUCCCUACUGACCUGCUGUGAUAUAACCAAAAUACUGUUCAAAGUGGCUUUAGACCCAACUUACAAACAAAACGUUUUUGAGUGUAAGAAAUUUCUUUUCUAAAUAUACAGCCCUCCAACAGUGUCACUUCUAUGGAUGGCCCACUGAGUGUGCUGGAGGUGAACAAGCGUCCAUGACAGACAGGGUUGUGAUGGUGAGGUGAAAUGUGGUUAAGGUUUAUUGCACAUAUGUAGCAACGUCUGUGUGUAGAUGCUUGUACUGGUCCAGAAUAAUGCCAGUGUUAUCAUGCUAGUCUGUUGGGAUACCGUGCUACAGUUAAACAUGGAAACCCCACUCAGACACAGUAUACUGACGCCAAAUGUCUUUUGGUAUGGCACAGCCAGGGAUCAAACCUCCGACAAUCUGUCCACUAGACCACGGAAGUAGUGUAAUGAUAUUAUUGGCAUGUGUAAGUAUGUCAUUGUUGCUCACCCCAUCGACCACUGGUUCACCUGGAUGUACAGGCCUCCAGGAUGUGGCUGGAAUAUUGCUGACUGGCAUAAAUCAAAACAAAAACAAAUUUUCUGAACAUCUUUCAUUUUUCACUUUAAAAUAUCAGAAACAAAGAGCCUCAGCAAUAAAUUUUAUUAAAAUAAAUAACAACACCAUUUUAGUUCUAAGAAAAUAUAUAUAUGUUAAAUAGACCCUAAUUAUUAAUAUUUGGUUUAUAAUAAAUUUAAAAGAAACAAAGCAGUGACUUGAAAUGUAUAGGUAUGCAAAGAAAAACCUUUCAAGCUCUCUCGGUGUACAAUGUUGUGUUGUGUGAGUCGUGGUGGAUAGCUUGUUGUCGUGCAAACGUGUCAUAUUUUGUCCUCGAGAUCAUCAGGCGUUCGUGAGAUUGUAGAACCUCAUUUGUUUCUUCCAUCAGAUUCGCAGUUGUGAUAGUUGUUGGCAUGGGUGCUACAGAAGUGUAGAGGUAGACACCCACAUACACCAGGUACCUUCCUGUAUACACCCACGUACACCUGGUACCUUCCUGUAUACACCCACCUACAUCAGGUACCUUCCUGUAUACACCCACAUACACCAGGUACCUUCCUGUAUACACCCACGUACACCAGGUACCUUCCUGUAUACACCCACGUACACCUGGUACCUUCCUGUAUACACCCAUGUACACCAGGUACCUUCCUGAGAACAGAAAUACACAUGGACAUAUCUGUAUACACACACGUACACCAGGUACCUUCCUGAGAACAGAAAUACACAUGGACAUAUCUGUAUACACACACGUACACCAGGUACCUUCCUGAGAACAGAAAUACACAUGGACAUAUCUGUAUACACACACGUACACCAGGUACCUUCCUGAGAACAGAAAUACACAUGGACAUAUCUGUAUACACACACGUACACCAGGUACCUUCCUGUAUACACCCACGUACACCUGGUACCUUCCUGUAUACACCCACGUACACCAGGUACCUUCCUGUAUACACCCACGUACACCUAGUACCUUCCUGUAUACACCCACGUACACCAGGUACCUUCCUGAGAACAGAAAUACACAUGGACAUAUCUGUAUACACCCACGUACACCAGGUACCUCCCUGUAUACACCCACGUACACCAGGUACCUUCCUGAGAACAGAAAUACACAUGGACAUAUCUGUAUACACCCACAUACACCAGGUACCUUCCUGAGAACAGAAAUACACAUGGACAUAUCUGUAUACACACACGUACACCAGGUACCUUCCUGAGAACAGAAAUACACAUGGACAUAUCUGUAUACACACACGUACACCAGGUACCUUCCUGAGAACAGAAAUACACAUGGACAUAUCUGUAUACACACACGUACACCAGGUACCUUCCUGAGAACAGAAAUACACAUGGACAUAUCUGUAUACACACACGUACACCAAGUACCUUCCUGUAUACACACACGUACACCAGGUACCUUCCUGAGAACAGAAAUACACAUGGACAUAUCUGUAUACACACACGUACACCAGGUACCUUCCUGAGAACAGAUAUACACAUGGACAUAUCUGUAUACACACACAUACACCAGGUACCUUCCUGAGAACAGAAAUACACAUGGACAUAUCUGUAUACACACACGUACACCAGGUACCUUCCUGAGAACAGAAAUACACAUGGACAUUUCUGUAGUACCUGUGGCUACAACCCUAACAGCAUCGGUUUCAUUGAAGUAGUUAUGUGUAUAGUCACAUAGACAGAUGAUGAUGAUGAUAUACCUCAGUUAAAUGUGCAUGUGUGAUGUUCUGAAAGUAUUCUGUUUGAAUAGAACAAAUUUCAAGAUUUAUGAUCUUUUUGACGCAAAUAUUUGUGUGAAAUUGGGAAUUUGUCUUUGAUUAUCAGGAAAAUAUUUAGAUUUUAGACAGUUUAUUGGAAUGAUGAAACAAAAUGUAGAGAACAUAUUUGUGGUUAUUGAGUAAUGUAUUGUUUAAAUAAGUUUAAUCAAGUAAAUACAUGGUUAGAUUAAAACCAUUUUGAACAGAUCAGUUCUGUGUUAAAGAGUGCAAUUGGAUGGGGUUGUACAAUUGUAUCUUAUCUUAUUUUGUAGCUUUUGUUUCAACACAUUCUAAAAGUUCUGCAAAUUAUCACACCAUUGGAUCUUUAAUAUAGCUUUUAAAGAAUAUACUAAUGUCAACACAAACGUUAUUGUCCUGCAAAUUAUCACACUGAAUUCCUGAGUAUUUAGUAUGACAAAACGAUUCUGGUAAAAGUAGUGUGUCCAACUUGGUGAGGAUUUCUGUUCUUUCACAACUUCUCAAACUGUUUGAUUAAACUGCGGAUUAAUAACCUGCUUGUUUAUUAAUCUUGUACAUUUUGUCUUAAUCAAGUGAAUAUUAUCUGUUGCUUUCUAUAUAUAUAAGGGGGCACGGGUGGCCCAGUCGUCUAAGGCGCCGCGAUUCGCUGUGCAGAGUCACGUCCCUUGGGCACGCCAGAAACCUAUGAUUGUGGGUUCCAAUCCCGGUUCGCCCCGAUU